UUGCAGUUAAAAAGCUCGUAGUUGGAUCUCAGGGUGAGCUCAGUUGGUCGGCCUAAUAGGUCAGAACUGGCUGGCUCUCCCUUGUUACUGAAUCCCUUCGUUGGUUUACUCCAUCGUUGUGGACUUCAGAUCGUUUACCUUGAAUAAAUUAGAGUGUUCAAAGCGGGCGUUUGCUUGAAUACAUUAGCAUGGAAUAAUGGAAUAGGACCCUGGUUCUAUUUUGUUGGUUUUGAGGACCAGAGUAAUGAUUAAUAGGGAUAGUUGGAGGCAUUCAUAUUUAAUUGUCAGAGGUGAAAUUCUUGGAUUUAUGAAAGAUGAACUUCUGCGAAAGCAUUUGCCAAGGAUGUUUUCAUUAAUCAAGAACGAAAGUUAGGGGAUCGAAGACGAUCAGAUACCGUCGUAGUCUUAACCAUAAACUAUGCCGACUAGGGAUUGGGAGUGGUUUGUUCAUUGACCCUCUCAGCACCUUACGAGAAAUCAAAGUUUUUGGGUUCCGGGGGGAGUAUGGUCGCAAGGCUGAAACUUAAAGGAAUUGACGGAGGGGCACC
rnacentral:rRNA from 1 species